rnacentral:rRNA from 1 species
AGGAUAAACGCUGGCGGCGUGCCUAACACAUGCAAGUCGAACGUCUCUUUCUUCGGGAAGAGGAGUGGCGGACGGGUGAGGAACACGUGGGAACCUGCCCUUCAGUGAGGAAUACCGGCGAGAAAUCGCCGACAAGACCGCAUAGCCCUCUCUGGUGAGAGCCAGAGAAGGAAAGCCUCGCAAGAGGCGCUGGAGGAGGGGCCUGCGUCCGAUUAGCUAGUUGGUGGGGUAAGAGCCUACCAAGGCGUCGAUCGGUAGCUGGUCUGAGAGGACGAUCAGCCACACUGGGAUUGAGAACGGCCCAGACUCCUACGGGGGGCAGCAGUGAGGAAUUUUCGGCAAUGGGGGAAACCCUGACCGAGCAACGCCGCGUGCAGGAAGACGGCCUUCGGGUUGUAAACUGCUUUUCUUUGGGACGAGCAAGGACGGUACCAGAGGAAUCAGCCCCGGCUCACUACGUGCCAGCAGCCGC